rnacentral:rRNA from 1 species
GGAUUGCCCUAGUAACGGCGAGUGAAGCGGCAACAGCUCAAAUUUGAAAUCUGGCCCCUCCGGGGUCCGAGUUGUAAUUUGCAGAGGGUGCUUCGGCGUCGGCCCCGGGUCAAGUCCCCUGGAACGGGGCGUCCUAGAGGGUGAGANCCCCGUANCUACCCGGGUGCCCUUCGCCGUGUGAAGCCCCUUCGACGAGUCGAGUUGUUUGGGAAUGCAGCUCUAAGUGGGAGGUAAAUUUCUUCUAAAGCUAAAUACCGGCCAGAGACCGAUAGCGCACAAGUAGAGUGAUCGAAAGAUGAAAAGCACUUUGGAAAGAGAGUUAAAAAGCACGUGAAAUUGUUGAAAGGGAAGCUCUUGCCGCCAGACUUGCCGCGGUUGCUCAGCCGUCCUCCGGGGCGGUGCACUCUUCCGUCGGCAGGCCAGCGUCGGUUCGGGCGGCCGGAUAAAGGCCCCGGGAAUGUAGCACCCCCCGGGGUGUGUUAUAGCCCGGGGCGUAAUGCGGCCAGCCCGGUCCGAGGCACGCGUUCGCGAGGACGCUGGCGUAAUGGCNGCAAGCGACCCGUCUUGAAACACGGACCAAGGAGUCUAACAUCUGUGCGAGUGUUUGGGCGUCAAACCCAUGCGCGUAAUGAAAGUGAACGGAGGUGGGAACCCCCUCGAGGGGCGCACCAUCGACCGAUCCUGAUGUCUUCGGAUGGAUUUGAGUAAGAGCAUAGCUGUUGGGACCCGAAAGAUGGUGAACUAUUCCCGGAUAGGGUGAAGCCAGAGGAAACUCUGGUGGAGGCUCGCAGCGGUUCUGACGUGCAAAUCGAUCGUCAAAUCUAGGAAUAGGGGCGAAAGACUAAUCGAACCAU